rnacentral:rRNA from 1 species
ACGGGGGGUGCAAGCGUUGUUCGGAAUUAUUGGGCGUAAAGAGCGUGUAGGCGGUUUGUUAAGUCUGAUGUGAAAGCCCUGGGCUCAACCCAGGAAGUGCAUUGGAAACUGUCAGACUUGAAUACGGGAGAGGGCAGUGGAAUUCCUAGUGUAGGAGUGAAAUCCGUAGAUAUUAGGAGGAACACCGGUGGCGAAGGCGGCUGCCUGGACCGAUAUUGACGCUGAGACGCGAAAGCGUGGGUAGCAAACAGGAUUAGAUACCCUGGUAGUCCACGCCGUAAACGAUGAGAACUAGGUGUUGCGGGUAUUGACCCCUGCAGUGCCGCAGCUAACGCAUUAAGUUCUCCGCCUGGGAAGUACGGUCGCAAGACUA